rnacentral:rRNA from 1 species
ACGCUGGCGGCGUGCCUAAUACAUGCAAGUAGAACGCUGAAGCUUGGUGCUUGCACCGAGCGGAUGAGUUGCGAACGGGUGAGUAACGCGUAGGUAACCUGCCUCUUAGCGGGGGAUAACUAUUGGAAACGAUAGCUAAUACCGCAUAAAAGUCGACAUUGCAUGAUGUUGACUUGAAAGGUGCAAUUGCAUCACUAAGAGAUGGACCUGCGUUGUAUUAGCUAGUUGGUGAGGUAACGGCUCACCAAGGCGACGAUACAUAGCCGACCUGAGAGGGUGAUCGGCCACACUGGGACUGAGACACGGCCCAGACUCCUACGGGAGGCAGCAGUAGGGAAUCUUCGGCAAUGGGGGCAACCCUGACCGAGCAACGCCGCGUGAGUGAAGAAGGUUUUCGGAUCGUAAAGCUCUGUUGUAAGAGAAGAACGAGUGUGAGAGUGGAAAGUUCACACUGUGACGGUAACUUACCAGAAAGGGACGGCUAACUACGUGCCAGCAGCCGCGGUAAUACGUAGGUCCCGAGCGUUAUCCGGAUUUAUUGGGCGUAAAGCGAGCGCAGGCGGUUAGAUAAGUCUGAAGUUAAAGGCUGUGGCUUAACCAUAGUACGCUUUGGAAACUGUUUAACUUGAGUGCAGAAGGGGAGAGUGGAAUUCCAUGUGUAGCGGUGAAAUGCGUAGAUAUAUGGAGGAACACCGGUGGCGAAAGCGGCUCUCUGGUCUGUAACUGACGCUGAGGCUCGAAAGCGUGGGGAGCAAACAGGAUUAGAUACCCUGGUAGUCCACGCCGUAAACGAUGAGUGCUAGGUGUUGGGUCCUUUCCGGGACUCAGUGCCGCAGCUAACGCAUUAAGCACUCCGCCUGGGGAGUACGACCGCAAGGUUGAAACUCAAAGGAAUUGACGGGGGCCCGCACA